AUACAUGCAAGUCGAGCGAACGGACGAGAAGCUUGCUUCUCUGAUGUUAGCGGCGGACGGGUGAGUAACACGUGGAUAACCUACCUAUAAGACUGGGAUAACUUCGGGAAACCGGAGCUAAUACCGGAUAAUAUUUUGAACCGCAUGGUUCAAAAGUGAAAGACGGUCUUGCUGUCACUUAUAGAUGGAUCCGCGCUGCAUUAGCUAGUUGGUAAGGUAACGGCUUACCAAGGCAACGAUGCAUAGCCGACCUGAGAGGGUGAUCGGCCACACUAGAACUGAGACACGGUCCAGACUCCUACGGGAGGCAGCAGUAGGGAAUCUUCCGCAAUGGGCGAAAGCCUGACGGAGCAACGCCGCGUGAGUGAUGAAGGUCUUCGGAUCGUAAAACUCUGUUAUUAGGGAAGAACAUAUGUGUAAGUAACUGUGCACAUCUUGACGGUACCUAAUCAGAAAGCCACGGCUAACUACGUGCCAGCAGCCGCGGUAAUACGUAGGUGGCAAGCGUUAUCCGGAAUUAUUGGGCGUAAAGCGCGCGUAGGCGGUUUUUUAAGUCUGAUGUGAAAGCCCACGGCUCAACCGUGGAGGGUCAUUGGAAACUGGAAAACUUGAGUGCAGAAGAGGAAAGUGGAAUUCCAUGUGUAGCGGUGAAAUGCGCAGAGAUAUGGAGGAACACCAGUGGCGAAGGCGACUUUCUGGUCUGUAACUGACGCUGAUGUGCGAAAGCGUGGGGAUCAAACAGGAUUAGAUACCCUGGUAGUCCACGCCGUAAACGAUGAGUGCUAAGUGUUAGGGGGUUUCCGCCCCUUAGUGCUGCAGCUAACGCAUUAAGCACUCCGCCUGGGGAGUACGACCGCAAGGUUGAAACUUAAAGGAAUUGACGGC
rnacentral:rRNA from 1 species